GACGAACGCUGGCGGCGUGCCUAAUACAUGCAAGUUGAGCGAUGAAGAUUGGUGCUUGCACCAAUUUGCAGAGCAGCGAACGGGUGAGUAACGCGUGGGGAAUCUGCCUUUGAGCGGGGGACAACAUUUGGAAACGAAUGCUAAUACCGCAUAACAACUUUAAACAUAAGUUUUAAGUUUGAAAGAUGCAAUUGCAUCACUCAAAGAUGAUCCCGCGUUGUAUUAGCUAGUUGGUGAGGUAAAGGCUCACCAAGGCGAUGAUACAUAGCCGACCUGAGAGGGUGAUCGGCCACAUUGGGACUGAGACACGGCCCAAACUCCUACGGGAGGCAGCAGUAGGGAAUCUUCGGCAAUGGACGAAAGUCUGACCGAGCAACGCCGCGUGAGGGAAGAAGGUUUUCGGAUCGUAAAACUCUGUUGGUAGAGAAGAACGUUGGUGAGAGUGGAAAGCUCAUCAAGUGACGGUAACUACCCAGAAAGGGACGGCUAACUACGUG
rnacentral:rRNA from 1 species